GCUACGACCAUACCACCCUGAACAAGCCUGAUCCUGUCUGAUCUCGAAAGCUAAGCAGAGUCGGGCCUGGUUAGUACUUGGAUGGAAGAUCACCUAGGAAGACCAGGUGCUGUGAGUG
rnacentral:rRNA from 1 species